UGUUCACGAAAGUGAUUAUUUCCACAAACUGGUUUUCUGCAAGAUGACACAUCUGAAGAUGCUCACUUCAUACGUUUAAUCGCGUUCUCAAAUGGCUUCUCAUUGCGAUCUGGCUUUCUCGCCCGCGUUUCCCCCAUCGAUCGCGGUAUUGAGUUCUGGAAUCGAUUUCUCCAUGAGCGUCGUACUUCAACAUAAUCAUUGCCUUUCCUCCUGUCGAAUUCGUGUUCCGAAGUUCAACGCCGUCGUGGAUUUGCAUCCCGGACGCAGUAGCGUCGUUCAAUCACCACUGCAUUUCAGACUUGAACCCGAGUUGCUUCUUCAAUGAUUUCCACAUUCAGCUAAAGGAUAGUUUCGUCGGCACAAUAUCCCAACGAGAACUAACAAGCAAAAAGAAACGGAGUGUGGCGAUAAAUACUCACCAGAUUCGUGACACGGUCUGAAGAGGUUUGUGCGAACAAGUGAUUUGUGUUAAGCACUGUGAGUGACCUAGUUCAAGCACAAUUGGAGGUUCAAGGUGAAGCUCCAAUGGCUUCUUAAUGGAGCUUUUACGCAAGGUUGAGGGAGAGAGGAAUGAAAUAGAGUUCGAGAAAAUUUCAGAAAUGAUAGUGAUAAAAAAAUCCCCAAAUGAUUGCAGUGGUUACUCUUAUAUAGUGUUUGUGGGAUACACCCGAAUCGAGCAGAUCGUGCAGUGACAGUUAGGGCAGGUUAUUCUGUUAGGAUGUGUAGGUUGACAUUGCCGUUUUGGCGGCAUCGUGGAAGGUGCUUGCUGAUGGCUUCGAAAAACGGUGUCUGUGUUUGAAAUUAUGUCGCUUAAUUAACUGAGUUGAAAUUAGUCAUGAUGCAGUUAGUAUACUAUAACUUAUUCUGUUAUGAGUUAAUUGUGAAUUCGGUUAGUGUUAAUUUGAGAGCUUAAAAAAUAGUUAAUCAGUUCUGGUUCAGUUAGAGAUGUGAGUUAAAUGAGAGUGGAAUGAGUUGGUUAGAGGUUAUGAUACUUUGUUAAAAUGAAAUUUAAAUUCCUCCCAAAUGCCACUGAGAUUAGUUUGUUACGAAUUCACAAGUUAUUUAAUGAAAUAAAAUCUAUUCUUCAUUUGCAAUGCUUGAAGUUUUUUGAAUGAAAUGGUUAAGGAUUACAACGAGUUGUUUGGACUGUUUGGCUUAUCAUGGUGAUGAUAUUGUGAAUUAGGAGCCAUUGUUAGAAAAAUUCAUGAAUCUGCUAUCAGGACAGGAUGCGACAUUAGUAUAAAUACUAGGUUUAGUCAUGAAGUUAAUUGCACUUAAGCCGAAUCUCAUGCCGCCUUACCACAUUUUGUUUAUUUUGUCUAGCAUGCUUUGAAAAUGCUUGAAUUGAACUGCCAAUGAAUCGAUGUCGGCGUCGUGCUUGAUUUUUCUUACGGAAUAUGAGUGUGAACUUGUUAUGCUAGCAUGUUUGAUCGGUUCCCUUCUAUUGUAUGUGUGCAUGAUUGUGUAUCUUGGUGUAUGACUAGAGUUUGGCACUUAGAAACUUAACAAUCAUUUCCAACAUCUUUGUGCAACAGAUUGUAUAGUGAGCAGCUUUCAUGACGACCGGUUGAUGGCUAAGGCGACCAACGCCGACAGACCUAGAGCGGAUUUGUUGGCCGAGCCUUUUAUGCUUCUCAACUUAUCAAGGCAGCAAUCGAGACUUCUUUAAAGUACACAAGAAAACCGAUUUUCCAGCUGCUUCAUGGGACAUUCUGAACGGCAUACCUUCAUAGACAGGAUAGUCAGCAAGUGUUAUCGUGUAGCUUCGAAAUCAAUGGUUAAUUGAAAUUGGUUAGCUAUGAGAGUUUGCUAUGUGUUAGCAACUAAUAAUGCUUAACUUUAAAAUGCACUGCAUGUUAUUUUUACUGUACUUAAUUAGUUAUGUGGUACAUGUUUUCCACAGCUAACCUAUUAAGCUUGUUAAUUUGUAAAUGUGUUAUUGUUGUGAAGUUGUAAUCUCAAUAGUUUGUGUUAGAAGUUUA